rnacentral:rRNA from 1 species
UACGGAGGGUGCAAGCGUUGUCCGGAUUUAUUGGGUUUAAAGGGUGCGUAGGCGGUCUUUUAAGUCAGUGGUGAAAUCCUCCAGCUUAACUGGAGAACUGCCAUUGAUACUGGGAGACUUGAGUACAGACGAGGUAGGCGGAAUUGACAGUGUAGCGGUGAAAUGCAUAGAUAUUGUCAAGAACACCGAUUGCGAAGGCAGCUUACUAGACUGUAACUGACGCUGAGUCACGAAAGUGUGGGGAUCAAACAGG